rnacentral:rRNA from 1 species
GACGAACGCUGGCGGCGUGCUUAACACAUGCAAGUCGAACGAAGUGGCGAACGGGUGAGUAACGCGUAAUCAACCUGCCCUUCAGCGGGGGACAACAGUUGGAAACGACUGCUAAUACCGUAUACUGAAGGAGGGGCUUGCGUCCGAUUGGCUGGUUGGGGGGGUACGGCCCACCAAGGCGAAGAUCAGUAGCCGGUCUGAGAGGAUGAACGGCCACAUUGGGACGGAGACACGGCCCAGACGCCUACGGGAGGCAGCAGUGGGGAAUCUUCGGAAAUGGACGAAAGUCUGACGGAGCAACGCCGCGUGAGUGAGGACGGCCUUCGGGUUGUAAAGCUCUGUUGAUCGGGACGCGGUACCGAGAUGAAAAGCCACGGCUAACUACGUGCCGGCAGCCGCGGUAAUAC